rnacentral:snRNA from 1 species
AUCGCUUCUCGGCUCCUUGGAGCUAAGAUCAAAGUGUAGUGUCUGUUCUUAUCUGUUUAAUAUCUGAUAUGUUCUUUAUUUGAGAACUGUAUGUUAAAUUGAUUUUUGAAACAGGGGGCUGGAAUAGGAGCUUGCUCUGUCCACCCCAUGCAUUGACCUGGUAUUGCAGUGUUUCCAGGACUGGUGCAUCUCCU